CCGCCUACAAAGUAUUGCUCGACUACAAUGAUACUGUGAGGGAAGGACAUUAUUUGACUUCUUCUUACUGACGGUAUCCAAAAUGUGUCAAAGGGUGACAGCUUCCACUUGAUUAAUUCCCUAAAUACGCAUUUGAGCGGAGCACGUACGAACAGGAUCCAUGUGGAAACAAGCUAUGUCAUGGGACAGCAGGAUAGAGUAAUAGCUGUGAUUGAUCACCAUGUGUAAUAGAGAUACCACGUUCCCUGUCUUUUCCAAUGCGUGUAGCUAUUGCAGACAUUUCUGACAUCUCUGUUUUAUUAGCAGCAAAAGCAGCCUGACACGCGCUCUGAAUUAGUUAGCACUAAGCACAGGACAGACUGAACCAAUUACUCUAGCCUUGACAACGUGUCCACGAGCACAAACUGCCAAGCUACAAAUUCCAGUCGGGGGAGGACAUUUUCAAAAUAUCUUUUGGCUGUGAUGACUGCAAUUUCCAGCUGUGCACUUUUCAACUGUGUCAAAGCAAAAGUCUGGGUUGUUACAUGAGAGUGUCUGCUUCACGCAUGCCUCAUGCAACUUGCGCACAAUGUAGGUCCCAAUAGGUUAAACGUUCUAAUAAAUGUGAUAAAAGUCAUUGAAUCUGGAGAUCAAAUAGCUUUUGAGCACAUAUCCGCAUAAGGAGACCAUGGGGUGGAUUUAACAAUAGCAUAUAAAUGAUAGGUGAGGGGAGCGAGAGCUGGAAAGAGGGAUGGGCCUGGCAGCAAUAUGCAUGUGGAUGUGCUGAGCGGAACAUAACAUAUUUUCCUCCUCCGGAUGAGGGAGAGACUUGCAAGGAUUUGAGCGGCUGUCUCGUCUUGUUUGUUCAUCAUCUUCCAUCUAAAUCGCUUCACAGGCACCAGGACGAUGCUUCCAGCCAGAUAAGGUGUUUUGACAACUUCAAGUGCAUUUCAGGCAGGUGGAAUCAUCUAAUUUCUGCGAGUCAGAUCACGAGCUGGAAGCUCUAUGAAUGGACGCUUUUGUUAUAAGUUUGCAUUCUCUUCAGGCUGCCUUUGGGGUUUGUGCAUCCACUAAUGUACUGUUGAGGAAUUACAACGGAUGAAGAAUUUGCUCCAAUGGGAUUAUGAGGUGCACACUUGCCUGAUGGGCACGUCAAGCUUGACAACAUCCAACUAUCCGCUGUUUCAUCCUCCGUUGAAGAAAGACAAAAUGAUGGUUGUAAUGUGACUGAAAACAUCUACCCCGUCAUGACAGGGUGGACAGCAAUUGUACAUGCAAAAUGUUCAAUACGAUUAUAAAAAUAGAAUACACAUGAUGAAAACGACUUGUUUUAUCAAAUAACAGGUUGUGGACAGUAAAACUAUGUGGAUUUAUUCAUUAAUUUUUUUCCAUUUAGUAUCAUUUCACCACUUAUUCCAGACACUGUAGUUAGCAGUGUCUGGGACAUGCCAAAAUCACAUGCAUUCAUUGCAAAGAAAUGUAUAAAAUGAAGGAAACACAUUUUAAGAGACUUUUCAUUGUAUUUGUGUGUGUGCAAAUGUUUGGGCACUUUUAAUAAGACCUCAGAGUUUAAUUAUUUUGCAACAUUUUUGUGAUUCUGGUGAGUACACCAAAGGUACUUCAUAGCGAUAUAUUGACCCGUAUGUCCUAAAAUGCUUAAAAUCUCUAAGACCACUCUUGUUUUGAAGACCCGUAAAAGGUGAUCAAAAACUGGUACACGUCUAUGAAGUUUAUGUCUGUAGCGCCCCGAUAGUGUCGUGCACAGCUGCUGUCCUAAAAGCCCUUCGCCAUCUGGUCUUGUGCACUCAGUCUUCUUCCACCUUUCUGUGGUCAUCCAUGCAGACAGCCUGUGCACAUCUGGUCUCCUGCUCAGUGAGGAGCACUUUGUGACAGCAGGUCACACAAGUUCAGCAGUUUUAAUAUCCCACUGGAAACAUCGUUCCUCAGAAACCUCCGAAACCACUGUAACCAGUUGGUAUGCA